ACUAAACAGUCAGGUAUUGCAUGUUUUAAAAAUUCUUUACAGCAACAAAGUCUAACCUAUUCCGGUGGUCUCCUCUAUGAGACAAACCGUUAUAUAGACUUAGACAGU
rnacentral:snoRNA from 1 species